rnacentral:rRNA from 1 species
CGGACGGGUGAGUAACGCGUGGGUAACCUACCCUGUACACACGGAUAACAUACCGAAAGGUAUGCUAAUACGGGAUAAUAUAUUUGAGAGGCAUCUCUUGAAUAUCAAAGGUGAGCCAGUACAGGAUGGACCCGCGUCUGAUUAGCUAGUUGGUAAGGUAACGGCUUACCAAGGCGACGAUCAGCAGCCGACCUGAGAGGGUGAUCGGCCACAUUGGAACUGAGACACGGUCCAA